CCUACGGGCGGCAGCAGUGGGGAUUAUUGCACAAUGGGGGAAACCCUGAUGCAGCGCCGCCGCGUGAGUGAAGAAGUAAUUCGUUAUGUAAAGCUCUAUCAGCAGGGAAGAAAAUGACGGUACCUGAGUAAGAAGACCCGGCUAACUACGUGCCAGCAGCCGCGGUAAUAAGUAGGGGGCAAGCGUUAUCCGGAUUUACUGGGUGUAAAGGGAGCGUAGACGGCAGUGCAAGUCUGGAGUGAAAGGCGGGGGCUCAACCCCCGGACUGCUCUGGAAACUGUACGGCUGGAGUGCAGGAGAGGUAAGUGGAAUUCCUAGUGUAGCGGUGAAAUGCGUAGAUAUUAGGAGGAACACCAGUGGCGAAGGCGGCUUACUGGACUGUAACUGACGUUGAGGCUCGAAAGCGUGGGGAGCAAACAGGAUUAGAUACCCCGGUAGUC
rnacentral:rRNA from 1 species